ACCUUACUCCGAUUGUUGACCGAUCUGAUUACUGACACUCAAGGCAUGACGUUCAGUUCAGAUAGUUAUUGAUAUCAGCUAUCCUACAUUAAUCCGAUGUGCCAUCAUAUCAACGCAUGGUUAUCUGAUAGCUAUCAUCCAACUCAGUUGUAACUGUCUUUCAAUUGUAUUCCAGCUUAUUUGCCACGUAGACAGCCGCCCCACGAUCUCUACAUAGCUUGCCAUUUUGUUAAAACAAGCAAAUGGCCUAAUAGAUCUUUAACAGCUUAACAGAUCUCUAACGAUCUAACAGAUCUCUAACGGCUUAACAAACCUUCCUUAAGGUCUAAGUAAGCUUUCUCUAUAAAAAGAGGACCAGCUUCUCUCUGAAAAAUAAAUCCAAGCUAAGUCUGAACUCACAG
rnacentral:lncRNA from 1 species